UUAAAGUUUUAUUUUUGUUUAAAAAUUUAGUAUUUGAUAAUUUUACAUGCGAGGUUUUGUUUCUUAAGGAAGCUUUCUGCAGUAAUUAAAUUUAUUAAUUAAGUUUUCUUAGAAUUAGGCAUUUAAAAUAGUAGUAACAAACCUUGUGCCAGCAGUUGCGGUUACACACGGAGUGCAAUUAAAUUAAGAUCAGAAAAUAAUAAUUUUGUAUUUAUAUUUGAAUAUUAAUUUUUAAGGUGAAAUUUAAAGUUUUUGUAAAUAAGAGUUUGGAAAGAUUUUAUUAAAUUUUUUAAAAAACUAGGAUUAGAUACCCUAUUAUUUAAAAUGUAAAGAAAGUUUCUGAAUAGUAUUAGAGUACUUGAAAUUUAAAGGAUUUGGCGGUGUUUUAGUCUAUUCAGAGGAACCUGUCCUGUAAUUGAUAUUCCACAAUUUAUUAUACUUAAUUUUUAAGCUUGUAUAUCGUCGUUAUUUGAAUAUUUUAUAAGGAGAAAAUGUUCAAGUUUUAAAAUUUUAAUUUAAGUCAGAUCAAGAUGCAGCGUAUAUUUAAGGAGAGAUGGGUUACAUUGAAGUUAUUUUUGGAUUGUCUUAUGAGAAGAGAUAUGAAAGUGGAUUUGAUAGUAAAUAUAAUAAAAUUAUUAUGUAGAUUUAAGCUCUAGAAUAUGCACAUAUCGCCCGUCGCUCCAAUUAUAAAAUUGGAUAAGUCGUAACAAAGUAGGUGUAUCGGAAGGUGUACCUAGAAUUAC
rnacentral:ncRNA from 1 species